UACGUAGGGUGCGAGCGUUGUCCGGAAUUAUUGGGCGUAAAGGGCUCGUAGGCGGUUUGUCGCGUCGGGAGUGAAAACCUCGGGCUUAACUCGGGGCUUGCUUUCGAUACGGGCAGACUAGAGGUAUGCAGGGGAGAACGGAAUUCCUGGUGUAGCGGUGAAAUGCGCAGAUAUCAGGAGGAACACCGGUGGCGAAGGCGGUUCUCUGGGCAUCAACUGACGCUGAGGCGCGAAAGCGUGGGUAGCAAACAGG
rnacentral:rRNA from 1 species